GCCGACGUAGCUCAGUGGUAGAGCAGUGCUUUCGUAAAGCAAAGGUCGGCGGUUCAAAUCCGCCCGUCGGCUCCA
rnacentral:tRNA from 1 species